GGGGGUGAUCGGUUUCGACGGUGAUCGUCGAUCCAGGAGAAGCGUGCCGAGGACGCAGGGUUAUCUCGUAAACGAUCCUUGCAAACCAAUAGGUGCCGAUACCAAUCGCGCCGACUUCGCUCUCGCCGCCUGAGCGAGUACCGAAGUCCGUCAGCCUGAGCUCGCUCUCGUCUCAGUAGCUGGCGUCAUCUAGAGAGCCACUGCUCCCAGCAUUCGUCGGUGAUGCUGGGGGGACUCUUAGCCGACUGGGCCCGUCCAUGACAUGUCUGCUAGAUCAUGGGGGCCGAGAAAAUCGCAGCAGACUGCGCACGGAGAAGUCCUGGUUCACAGUCAUCGGACGCGGGUUCGAUUCCCGCCACCUCCACC
rnacentral:tmRNA from 1 species